rnacentral:rRNA from 1 species
GACGAACGCUGGCGGCGUACCUAAUACAUGCAAGUCGAACGCAGUGGGGACGGGUGAGUAACCCGUGGGUAACCUCCCAUCAGAGGGGAUAACCCUUGGAAACAGGUGCUAAACCGAUACUGAUGGAUGGACCCGCGGUGCAGUAGCUAGUUGGUGCGGUAACGGAUCACCAAGGCCACGAUGCAUAGGCGACCUGAGAGGGGGAUCGGUCACACUGGGACUGGGACACGGCCCAGACUCCUACGGGAGGCAGCAGUAGGGAAUAUUCGGCAAUGGACGAAAGGCUGACCGAGCCACGCCGCGUGAGUGAAGAAGGUUUUCGGAUCGUAAAACUCUGUUGUUAGAGAAGCGGUAUCUAACCAGAAAGCCACGGCUAACUACGUGCCAGCAGCCGCGGUAAUUC